GUCAGGGUGGAGCCCCGCCUAGAAUUCCCCAGUGAGGGACCCAGGCGUGGUCAGGGGUAGCAUGAGCUGUCACAGCUUCCAGCACCAUUACUGCAGAACAACCCCAUCCACACACCACACACGUCGGCCACCACCGGCGCCUUAGAGUUCCGCAACCGUCUGCGUGUGUGCGCGCGGGAGUGCACGGGAGGAGCUUCCCCUCCCUGCAGCAGCUGGCCAGCGGACCGCUGGAAGGGACUGAAGUUAGGAAGUCGUUAGCGAGCGGCGGAGGAGGAAGGUUCAUGCGCAGAGCGUCUCCCCGCAGGUUACUGAUUGACAGCCAGGGAAGUGCAGGAGUCACGAAAGCCGGGUGCGUCCCGGCUGUCCCGGCCUGCAUCUGAGGCAGGGCACGCGAGGACAGCGUGAACCCCUGACUCAGCGCCACGUGCACGGCCGCAGGGGAGCAGCACCCAGAUCCCGAACCCCCAAACCUUCCGGGGAGCCACCGGGAAACAAGCAGUGGUGGGGUUCUCUCCGCAGUGAGUGGUUCGUCCCCUAGGGAAGGUCAGAGCCAGGGAUGACCAAGUGACGGGGCCGGGAGACGGCGCAGCAGGUCAGUGCACUGGUACAAACAUGAGGCCCUGGGUUCAAAUCCCCAGCAGCCACAUCGAGAUAGCACGGCUGUGCACGCCUGAGAGCCCCCCGGUGCGCUGGGGGUUACGGGAGGAUGGCUGGGUUUGUGGCCCUGCCUGCUCCGGGGCAGGAGACUGUGUCCGGGAAAUAGGAGGGACAGCGACAGGGCAGGGCACCAACGUCCCGGCCUGGGCCCUGCGCACACACGCGUGCUCGCAACCAAACCACACACGCUUGCACACACAGGCGCUGCCCACCUGCUGCCCACGCCCUCGGGAGGCGAAGGUGGGAGCAGCUCGUGUUUCAGGUCAGCUCGGACCACAGAGCAACACAAAACUCGACAAAAAUAAAUAAAUAAAGAAGAAAAGGAGAGAAAUCGCCCCUUGGCUGGAUGUGUCGGCCAGGUGCCUCGCAGACCUGGGGCUGAGGGGAGGCUGGGGGGUGUUCGCACCCCUAGGGGAGGGGUGGUGACUCUCCUGUCACGCCAGGCCAGACACAGGGAGUCACCCAGCCCCUCCCCGGCCAUCGCUGGCCAAGAGAGGCCGUGACAGAGCCACCCAUGAAGGCAGUAAGGGCCGGUGAGAGGGCUCAGUGGGUGACGGUGCCUGCCGCUAAGUCUGAUCACCUAAGGACUCUGGCCCUUGGCACUUCCGUUAGGUUCCCUUCCGGAAGUGCCAGCUGAUGUGCGGGGGAGGUAGAGCUGGGCAGAUGGGAACAGAUGAGAGGUAAAUGACCAAGGGUUUGGUUUCUCUAAAAACUCAGGUAUGUGCUACAAUUUGUCUCCAGCUGAUCUUGACCUCCUGAAGGGCGUGGUCUUCACCGGAGGGGCGUGGUCUAGGACUCUGAGGGACAUAACUAUGAGAGCCCAGCUCAGAGGUUGGGAGCGCUGGCUGUUCUUCCAAAGGUCCUGAGUUCAAGUCCCAGCAACCACGGGGUGGCUCACAGCCAUCUACAGUGAGAUCUUCUGGCGUUCAGACACGCAUGCAUACCUAAAAACUGUAUCUAAAACACCGUAUACAGAGUACAUAAAUAAACCUUUAAAACAAAAAUAAAUACGAGGGCCCAGAGAGAAGGGGUGGCAAUUUUGAGAGACCAGAGACAGAUGGUGUGGUGGCUUGGAGGGGACAGGCGGAGAGAGAGAGACGCUUCAUGGAGCAGCUGCUUGGAGGAGGCUCCUUUCUGGGUUUGCUAUUGGUACAGCCCCCAGAAGAACCCAUUGACCCUAAACAGCCGGGAAAAGUAAAGGGGUCUGUGUCUCCCUUCCCCACUAACCCUCUCUCCUACUUAGGGUUAGGGUGUUGGAAGGGAGAGGCCAAACAAAAGAGAGUUUUAAAGAUGAGCGCAACAGCUAAAGGCCAAUGGUUAAAGGGAGCUAUGGUCAGUGGCACAGCAGAGCUAUGGCCCCAGCCGGCUCGCACGGGGCCAGCCAGAAGGUGGCUUUUUGCCUGUGUGCCUGGCUGGGUCUCACAGGAAAAGCUUUUGCAUAUUAAUCGGAUUCCUUGAAGAGAGAGAGAGAGAGAGAGAGAGAGAACAUAAGAUUAAAAUGUCACAUCAAUCCCAGUGCUCAGGAGGCAGAGGCAGGUGGGUCUCUGAGUUCGAGACCAGCCUGGUCUAGAGACUGAAUUCUAGGACAGCCGGGGCUACACGGAGAAACCCUGUCUUGAAAAAGCAAAACCAAAAGCAAAACAGAUCACACAGCUCAAAACAAACCGGCUUGGCGGAGGGCCCAGGUGUAGCUGGUUUUGUUUUCCCUCGAAACUGACAGCUGGAGAAUUGCGAGGAGGAGGAGGCCGGUUGUAGUGGUCAAAGGGCCUGUCCCUCUGCUGGGAAAAGGGCCUGGAGCCCAGGGGGGCUGCCGCUGGAUCUGGCCCUACGGCCCUACCCUAAGGAAACCUCCUCAAGUCAGGGAGCUAUUUCUUUCCCACCCUCAGGCUGACCUUUGCCCUCUGCUGACAGUGCUCCCCCCGCAGCUCUGUGGGAACUCGGAGUUCAGGGUGACCUGGGUAACUGCCCAGCUUGGCUCUCCGAGGUCCUCGCUCACUUGUCCACUCCUGGAGUUGCAGCACUUACAGCCUUCCUGGGGGAAGCCAGUUUCUUGCCCCUGGCUACCCUCAGGCACGGCUCUCUGAUUCUUUGGCAGGGGGGGGGAGGACGGGGGGACGGUGUCUGUUGCUCAGGUGUGAGGAUGAGGACCACCCCUGCUGCCCACGUUCCGUUCCUGCAUCUUCUGGAGAUGCCUCCAGCCUCUUCCCCCCUCUCCUGAGGCCUGUGAGGAGGAGGAGGAGCCAUCAGGCCGCAGCCAUCUUGGCCAUUGAGUUCCCCACACAGCAUGGAGCGGUCUUGAGGACAUCAUCGUCAGUGACACCCGACACAAGAGCCAGGACAGGAAAUUCUCUGCACAGGAAGUAGAUCUCAGGGGCUGGGGCCUGAGAGGGGCAAGGGGACAAGGCGGGGCUGACUUUGGGGUGCCUGGUGUUCUUGAGGUAGACGGUCGUACCGACACAAGAACCUAGCAAGGCUUCACCGCGGUAAAGCUUCCGGAGGGUGUGGUGGCGCGGCCCUGAGCCCAGCACUGGAGAGGCGGAGGCUGGCGCGGCUCGCGGUCUAGGACCGAGGUCUACCGAGCGAGUCCAGGCAGCGACGGCUACACAGGGAGACCCAGGCUAUAAAAGCAAGGCCCACCUCCCCAUGCCUUCCGGCUCAUCUUCCCCAGGGGCCUGGCUGUCCCGUCUCAGCCCUGGGGCUCCGGGGCCAGGGCCCUGGCUGUGCCUCGGAAAGUCCUGGUCUCAAAGCCACCAAACCUAAGUGACGGAAGGAGAGAGCCCACCCCUGCCAGGCGUCUACCCGUGAUGUAACUACACAACCAUUCACUCAGGUAUCCGUCCUUCAGUCCAUCCAUCUGUCCAUCCAUCUGUCCAUCCAUCUGUCCACCCAGCCACCCAUCCACCACCUCUCCAUCUACCUGUCUAUCUGUCCUUCCACCCGUCAGUCCACCUGUCCACCCGUCCAUCCACCCACCCACCCUCACACCCAUCUGUCCAGCCAUCUGUCCAUCCACCUGACCACCCAGCCAUCUGCGCCCCAUUUGUGCGGCGCUGACUGUCACUGUUCCAGAGCAGUGACCCCCAGGCCGCAGAGCUGGGCAAGAUGACAAGGGUCCCUGUGCUUUCAGGAACCUAGCAACCGAGCCAGCCUCCCCGAGAACACACAUAAGCUUCUGAGACCGGCAUCACCCACAGUCCCGUGCUCUUCACUGCGGCGAGGAGGAGACGGGAGCGCCCUUCCCCCCGCCGGCCCACCCUGUGCCCCAUGCCAGGGCAUGCUGGAGCUUGACUGGCAGGCCUCCAUCUCCCCCCUCCGCAGGGUGCACAGGGGGCACCGGGGGCCCCUCUUGGCCCAGGAAGCGGUGGCCUCAGCAUCUCUGAGGAGCAACUGAGGCGGGGACAACUUGACUAAAGACAGCCGUGAUUCUCGCGUGACCCUGAGCUGCUCUGAGGACCUCCCACUGUGUCCUUGCCUGUGUGUCCCGGGUCCGGGGUGAGCUGCUGAACUUUUUUCCUUCUGACUCACGCAGAUGUCCCUCACCCGGGGAAACUGAGGCAGGCGGGCCACCACAGGUUGCAGGCCAGCCAGCACUAGCUCCUUGCCCAGACUUCCAAGUAAGGAAGGAGCAAAGGGCAGAGUUCUGCCCACAGGCUUCAGACUGGAGGGAACACAGAGGAGCCAGAGCAGGAGGGAGACCAGCAUGAAGCCAGAAGGAAACCUCCAGAGCAUGUAUCCAAGACAAAACGCCGCUGCCUGUCAUAUGUAAAAAUCACCACGAAUCAAUAGCAAAAGUCCUCUAGGAAACAGAUACACUAAAGUUCUGAAGAAAUACCACAAAGCCGGCUAUGGCAGACACACACCUGUCAUCCAAGGGCUCAGGAGGUGGAGGCAGGAGGAUUACCCAUCAGAUACAGAGUGGUUUUAGAGGCUAGCCUGGGCUACAGGAGACAUUGUAUCAAACAACAAACAAUAAAAAUAAAAACUAAGGGAAGAGCCCAGUGACUCCCUUCUAGGAUAACUAAUUCUUUCAUUUAUUUAUUUAUUUAUUUAUUUAGUUAGUUAGUUAGUUAGUUUACAGACAGUUGUGAGCUAUCAUCGGGUGCUGGAACCUGAACCCUCGUCCUCAGGAAGAGCAAUCAGUGCUCUUAACCGCAGAGCCAUCUCUCUAGCCCCAUGAUGACUAUUUCUGAGGGCAAGGACCAAGACCGAGGCUGCUGGACUCACAGCUGGCUGCCCUGCAUGUCAACUGCUGAGAAAGAGGUCCCCGAGGCCAGAGUAAACACAUCAGGAAAUGGAGGCUGAACACGUGUCCUCGGCUGCGGAAAACGUCACUGGGCAGACGGGACGCGGCAGCCUCCCCUGGCCACGGACUGUGGCCUGACCUGGACCGACCCCGUCUCUAGCUGGGUCUGGGGCUAUCAAUGCGUGAUCACAUGCCCACAGAAUGACCUGGGGGGGGCGGGCUGGCACGGUGGCACAGACUGUCAAGUGUGCCCCCUGAAGCUCGAGGAGCUGAGUUCCAAUCUACGUUGCAGCUGCUGCUACGUUCUCGGUGCCUGGGUAUGGAGACAACAGGAUUCCCUUGGGCUCUCAGACGAUAUUCGGUGAGAGACCCUGCCUCAGACGCGAGGUGGAGGCGACGGGGGCCAGUGGAGGAGCUCCCCAGUUUGACAACCACACAUUCCCAGAUGUCACCGGGGGACCCAAGGAGCCGAGUCAUCCCCAGCGGAAAGGCAGGUCUGAGACCCCGAGAUACUCAGGGCCCCGCCACAGGCCAAGCGGGACACACAGGGGUCCGUCCAGAAGCUGAGGUAUCCUGGGCUCACGGGUCACAGCCAGAAGGAGGCCGGAGACCCAGAAAGCGAGCAAGGAAUGGCAGGUUUGAGAAAAUCAUUCAUAGGAGCUGAUUCUAAAUAUGUGAACACACAGGUGACAAUCUGUGGGAGAAGCAUGCUCAGGCCAUUCUCCCUGCUCGUUCCACUCUGCCAGGCUGGCCAGAGGAAGCAGAGAGUACUGAGCAGACAUGGGCGCCAGGACAGGGGCACUGUGCAGAGGCCGCCGGAACAGGGGGCUGUGUGGUUGGGGAAAUGCUGCCUCAGAUCCUCACGCGCUGACUGUGCAGGCCCCACAGCGAGCGUCUGCCUCCGAUAAAGGAAAAUUAACUGGGACUCCAAGAAGCCCUGAGAGUGGCUGCAGACACAGGGUUGGGCCUUAUUCCUUAGACUGUGGGGAAUUGUGGGGAUGUGGCCUGGCUGGAGGGACCCCCACAUUCCUCUACGUACGUGCCAAGGUGUGAUGCAUGAGAAAGUUCUAGCGGCUGGGCGGAGUGCAGAGGGAUUGCUGCAAGUUUGGCCCAGAUUGGGGGAUGCAGCAAGCCCCUGCUCUAGAAACCGAAACCCAGGGGGCUGGGCCGGUGGCUCCAUGGAAACCACAAAUCGCAAGCUCGAGGGACUGAGAGCCCCUAACCUGAAUUUUCAGAGCUGGGGCUGGGGUUGGGGAGGAGGUGGGUGAGAGCGCUUGCCGAGGCUGACAGCUCCUAGUGGCCUGGACCCACGCGGUGGGAGGAGAGAACUGACUCCCACGCGGUGUCCUCCCACCUCCACACAUGCACUCUGAAGAAAUAAGAGUGUAAUUUGGGGUGAGAUAUUUAAAAUAGUGUGUGCAUAUGUGUUCGUGUCUCUUCGUGCUCCAAGCCUGGAGGUGAAAGCUGGGAACUGAACUCAAGCGAAACUGGUUCUCAACCGCAGAGUCCGGGCAUUACCAGGAGGUGGCGGGGAUCCCCCU